UGCAAUCGUUGUUACAAAUACAACAACCACCACCACGGCAACACCUUAUUUCUAUUUUUGUUUUUCUCCUCAAUCCCAAGCACUCAUUGCGGAGUGGCUUCACACGGACUCAAAAAGAACAAUUGUAGGAGUGGAUAUGGACCUUGAGAAACUUGAAUGGAGCUUAAGGAAUAAUGUUGAUUCAAAUGGGUUCUAGCUUUACCAAUAAGGCUUCAACUAGGGAUGUAAUGAAACUUAAGGAUGCUAGGCUGGAGGAUAUGCUCCACCGUAGGCUGGAGGAUGUUCUUAAUUGGUUGAAAUAACUUUAAUAGAUUGCUGUAAGAUUAUUCAUUCGA